rnacentral:rRNA from 1 species
UACGAAGGGGGCUAGCGUUGCUCGGAAUCACUGGGCGUAAAGGGUGCGUAGGCGGGUCUUUAAGUCAGGGGUGAAAUCCUGGAGCUCAACUCCAGAACUGCCUUUGAUACUGAGGAUCUUGAGUUCGGGAGAGGUGAGUGGAACUGCGAGUGUAGAGGUGAAAUUCGUAGAUAUUCGGAAGAACACCAGUGGCGAAGGCGGCUCACUGGCCCGUUACCGAGCUCAGGCGCGACAGCGUGGGGAGCAAACAGG